UGCAGAGGGUGCGAGCGUUAAUCGGAAUGACUGGGCGUAAAGGGUGCGUAGGUGGUUGAUUAAGUUAGCUGUGAAAUCCCCGGGCUCAACCUGGGAAUUGCAGCUAAUACUGAUGAGCUUGAGUAGGUGAGAGGAGUGUGGAAUUUCCGGUGUAGCGGUGAAAUGCGUAGAGAUCGGAAAGAACACCAGUGGCGAAGGCGGCACUCUGGCACCAUACUGACACUGAGGCACGAAGGCGUGGGGAGCAAACAGG
rnacentral:rRNA from 1 species